rnacentral:tRNA from 1 species
AGAAAGGUAAGCUAAAAUUUAAGCUACCAGGUUCAUACCCUGUUUAUAGAGAUAAAACUCUCCUCUCUA